rnacentral:rRNA from 1 species
CCUACGGGAGGCAGCAGUGAGGAAUAUUGGUCAAUGGGCGUAAGCCUGAACCAGCCAAGUCGCGUGAGGGAUGAAGGUUCUAUGGGUCGUAAACCUCUUUUAUAAGGGAGUAAAGUGUGGGACGUGUCCUGUUUUGUGUGUACCUUGUGAAUAAGGAUCGGCUAACUCCGUGCCAGCAGCCGCGGUAAUACGGAGGAUCCGAGCGUUAUCCGGAUUUAUUGGGUUUAAAGGGUGCGUAGGCGGCCUUGUAAGUCAGCGGUGAAAGUCUGUGGCUCAACCCUAGAAUUGCCGUUGAAACUGGGAGGCUUGAGUAUGUUUGAGGCAGGCGGAAUGCGUGGUGUAGCGGUGAAAUGCUUAGAUAUCACGCAGAACCCCGAUUGCGAAGGCAGCCUGCCAAGCCAUGACUGACGCUGAUGCACGAAAGCGUGGGGAUCAAACAGGAUUAGAUACCCUAGUAGUC